rnacentral:siRNA from 1 species
AGAAUGUACCAGUGGUAAGCUAC